ensembl:lncRNA
UGGAGUUUCCUGCUCCACGUGUGCAAUGUCACCAGCUGACAUAAAAUCUGAAAAGAUGUGCUGGACCAGGGGAGGAGAAAAGGUGCUAUUGCAACCAUUGGCAUCUUCUUCAAAUGCCUGCAAAGUGAGGCGGGACUGUCCUUCCUUUCUUCUUCAUUACAUGUUUCUGAAGCCUACAACUUACUGUAAUUCAGAAUGAAGCUAUUCAAGUUUUGUGGGGGAAGAUUAGUGUGCUAAAACACUAGCACACCUCUAAGACAGCUGCAGCUGGAUUGUCAGUGAGCUGAUGAUGGGAGACAGGAGGUUGUGAGAAUGAAACAGGGAAUGUGACACCUCUGGAGGUAUCCAACAGGAACUGUGGAAGGAAAAAGCUGGGCCUGGGUUCCCACAGAUGGAAGAGCCAGUGGGAAGGCAUUAGGAGGGGAGCACACAGAAAUGGAUACCAUCCACCAUUGCCCAGAGGAGUUGGGCUGAGAUUGUGUGAGACACAUUUCUAACAUCCUGCCUACCUCACCACUUAAACUGGGAGUUUUUGUCUGCUGGAAGCAAAGUGACACUAGCAAAUGCCUAGUUGUUUUGUGUUGGUUUUUUUUUUUCUAACCAUGUCAGAUUUCGUGUACUUGUGAGUUUCACAGCAGGGCUGAAUCCUCAGGGGGACACCUGAGCUGGGAUCCCGCAAGGCUUCAGCCAAGUCAAGGGCUGCACCACCACACACGUCACACUGUGCAAGGGAACCAGGGCGCUGCACAGGAACCGUGGAGACUACUUGGAAUUCAAGUUCUGAUUUUUUGCCCUUUCAUGUCUCAGGACGUUCUGAGGUACACACUUCAGUUGUGAACUUUGGUCUGAGUAGGUAAGAAGCUCUUGACUGUCAGAGAUGCUGGUUUGAAUAAGCAGGAUGUUCAUUUUGGGUUCAAUACACCCCCUUGCUGACACCCACCUCAGUAUAAGUGCUGAACAAAAUGCGCUCAGAAUGAGGCUCACGCAGGACUUAAAUAGGACCCAGACCCAUGCCUGGGGCCAACAUCUGCCUUUCAAAACAAUGCUGGUAAAUAGGAUUCCAUUAAGCCUUGAUCUUACAUUUUCAAAAUCCUUCCUUGUCACUCCGUGGAAGGACGAGUGGCACUCAGACAGGCCCAGGUUCAUGAAUUUUCCAACUAGAAGGAACCAUCCUGGUUGCAAAGCAUAGCCCCCUGGAUGGGAGGAACAUAUUUACUUGUUAUUUAGCUUAUCUCUUUUUCCAUUUAUGCAUUGUGUAGGUUACCCAUCUUGCCAAAUCAAGAGAUGAUGAACUUAUGUUGAUUUAAAUGCUUUGCAUGACAAGAACCUCCUCCAUGACCAAGGAGGCUGGAAAAAUACCAGGAAUAUUUUUUAUACUGGAGCAAAAGAACAAUGCCAGGAAACACACCAACAUCAACUCUAGUAACUUACUUAUACAGAAAUGUGGGAAGCGUGUCUAUUUAAG